rnacentral:rRNA from 1 species
GACGAACGCUGGCGGCGUGCCUAAUACAUGCAAGUUGAGCGCUGAAGGUUGGUACUUGUACCAACUGGAUGAGCAGCGCACGGGUGAGUAACGCGUGGGGAAUCUGCCUUUGAGCGGGGGACAACAUUUGGAAACGAAUGCUAAUACCGCAUAAAAACUUUAAACACAAGUUUUAAGUUUGAAAGAUGCAAUUGCAUCACUCAAAGAUGAUCCCGCGUUGUAUUAGCUAGUUGGUGAGGUAAAGGCUCACCAAGGCGAUGAUACAUAGCCGACCUGAGAGGGUGAUCGGCCACAUUGGGACUGAGACACGGCCCAAACUCCUACGGGAGGCAGCAGUAGGGAAUCUUCGGCAAUGGACGAAAGUCUGACCGAGCAACGCCGCGUGAGUGAAGAAGGUUUUCGGAUCGUAAAACUCUGUUGGUAGAGAAGAACGUUGGUGAGAGUGGAAAGCUCAUCAAGUGACGGUAACUACCCCGAAAGGGACGGCUAACUACGUG